rnacentral:rRNA from 1 species
GGGCAAGCCUGGUGCCAGCAGCCGCGGUAACUCCAGCUCCAAUAGCGUAUAUUAAAGUUGUUGCGGUUAAAAAGCUCGUAGUUGAAUCUGUGUCCCACACUGUCGGUUCACCGCUCGCGGUGUCCAACUGGCAUGUCUGUGGGACGUCCUACCGGUGGGCGCAGCCCCUCAAAAGGCGGCCCAACUCAAAAUCCUACCACGGUGCUCUUCACCGAGUGUCGAGGUGGGCCGGUACGUUUACUUUGAACAAAUUAGAGUGCUUAAAGCAGGCUCAUUCGCCUGAAUAUUCUGUGCAUGGAAUAAUGGAAUAGGACCUCGGUUCUAUUUUGUUGGUUUUCGGAACUCCGAGGUAAUGAUUAAUAGGGACAACUGGGGGCAUUCGUAUUGCGACGUUAGAGGUGAAAUUCUUGGAUCGUCGCAAGACGGACAGAAGCGAAAGAAAUGUGUUUUCAUCAAUCAAGAACGAAAGUUAGAGGUUCGAAGGCGAUCAGAUACCGCCCUAGUUCUAACCAUAAACGAUGCCAGCUAGCGAUCCGCCGAAGUUCCUCCGAUGACUCGGCGGGCAGCUUCCGGGAAACCAAAGCUUUUGGGUUCCGGGGGAAGUAUGGUUGCAAAGCUGAAACUUAAAGGAAUUGACGGAAGGGCACCACCAGGAGUGGAGCCUGCGGCUUAA